rnacentral:tRNA from 13 species
UGCAUCCUUAGCUCAAUUGGACAGAGCGUCUGGCUACGGACCAGAAGGUUAAGGGUUCGACUCCUUUAGGGUGCGCCAU